GGUUGCGUGGCCGAGUGGUCUAAGGCGCUAGAUUUAGGCUCUAGUCCGUGAGGGCGCAGGUUCGAACCCUGCCGCAGCCA
rnacentral:tRNA from 1 species